GAAGAUUUUUUGAUGAACAAUGUUGUCAACAUUGGUAUAGCAAAAAGUGUAAAAUAUGACAAAUGCUCCGCAAAUGGGUGUUUCAUACAAGUGAUAGGCUCAGUAACAAUUGAAGAAUGGUGAUGAGAGUGAUAACGAGAGUAUAGAUAAUGAUGAUGAAGUGCUCUAUGAAGCCAAUAGUAUAAAAACUCCACUGGUCCAGCAUGCAAUAUUGCUGUAAGAAUCACACCAUCUAUUCUCCACCAUGGUAAGUUAGAAGCCAUAGG
rnacentral:lncRNA from 1 species